rnacentral:rRNA from 1 species
UGGGGAAUUUUGGACAAUGGGCGCAAGCCUGAUCCAGCAAUGCCGCGUGCAGGAUGAAGGCCUUCGGGUUGUAAACUGCUUUUGUACGGAACGACAAAGCUCUCUCUAAUACAGGGGGUGAAUGACGGUACCGUAAGAAUAAGCACCGGCUAACUACGUGCCAGCAGCCGCGGUAAUACGUAGGGUGCAAGCGUUAAUCGGAAUUACUGGGCGUAAAGCGUGCGCAGGCGGUUUUGUAAGACAGAGGUGAAAUCCCCGGGCUCAACCUGUGAAAUGCCUUUGUGACUGCAAAGCUGGAGUGCGGCUGAGGGGGAUCGAAUUCCGCGUGUAGCAGUGAAAUGCGUAGAUAUGCGGAGGAACACCGAUGGCGAAGGCAAUCCCCUGGGCCUGCACUGACGCUCAUGCACGAAAGCGUGGGGAGCAAAC